AACGAACGCUGGCGGCAUGCCUAACACAUGCAAGUCGAACGAGACCUUCGGGUCUAGUGGCGCACGGGUGCGUAACGCGUGGGAACCUGCCCUUAGGUUCGGAAUAACUCCCCGAAAGGGGUGCUAAUACCAGAUAAUGUCUUCGGACCAAAGAUUUAUCGCCUUUGGAUGGGCCCGCGUUGGAUUAGCUAGUUGGUAGGGUAAAAGCCUACCAAGGCGACGAUCCAUAGCUGGUCUGAGAGGAUGAUCAGCCACACUGGGACUGAGACACGGCCCAGACUCCUACGGGAGGCAGCAGUGGGGAAUAUUGGACAAUGGGCGAAAGCCUGAUCCAGCAAUGCCGCGUGAGUGAUGAAGGCCUUAGGGUUGUAAAGCUCUUUUACCCGGGAUGAUAAUGACAGUACCGGGAGAAUAAGCCCCGGCUAACUCCGUG
rnacentral:rRNA from 1 species